rnacentral:rRNA from 1 species
AAUGAACGCUGGUGGCAGGCUUAACACAUGCAAGUCGAGCGUGAAGCAACCUUCGGGUUGUGGAAAGCGGCAAACGGGUGAGUAACAUGUGGGAACGUACCUUGCAGUUUGGGAUAGCCUUUAGAAAUGAAGAUUAAUACCAAAUAUUCUCUACGGAGGAAAGAUUUAUCGCUGCAAGAUCGGCCCGCACUAGAUUAGUUUGUUGGUGGGGUAAUUGCCUACCAAGGCUACGAUCUAUAGCUGGUUUGAGAGGAUGAUCAGCCACACUGGGACUGAGAUACGGCCCAGACUCCUACGGGAGGCAGCAGUGAGGAAUAUUGCACAAUGGGGGAAACCCUGAUGCAGCCAUGCCACGUGUGUGAUGAAGGCCUUCUGGUUGUAAAACACUUUUAUUAGUGAAGAUAUUGACAUUAGCUAAAGAAAAAGCUCCGGCUAACUUCG